CUUUGGAGUUCCAUGGACGGGGUUUCCAGGGCAUGAGAAUUGCCAGUGCUGGAAAAGACAUUAAAAAGGAAGAAAGGAAAAAAAGAAAGCCACAAAACAGUUUCUUUCUUUGCAGGCAAUAAGAAGCUGACUGCUCCCAGCCUAAGGCUGCCUUUGUUUCUGCUCAGAGAUUGUCUUUGAUCCAAGCCAGUGAACAAAAGCUCAUUAUCUUACCUUUAAAUAGAGGGAUUUUUAGCAGAAACAUUGAAGGGUUAGGGGGAGGAGAAGGGGUUCCUCUCAGGAUGCCCCCAAAGGUCCCAAGGCUCCUAGCCACCAAGGAAGAGCAUGAGAAAGAGCACACAGACCCCAUGAGUGGCUUCUGAGAAUGCUGAAGACGGUCUUUGUAACUGUUUGUAUUUAUAGUUAUUGAACAGCUCUGUCAGUCCAUUUGCAAGCAGGACACUGGCGUCUUUACUCAGAUUUCCUGUGUGCUGCAUGUAUGUCACCCAGACAGAUUUCUCUAGACACCAUGAAAUGAAGAGCCUCCUCUUCCAUAAACAGCUGGACUCCUCAGAGGCCCACUGCAACGGAGUCACAAUGAUUGAGGCCUCAGAAACCAUGUGUGGGGAGGCAAACAGAUGCCAUAGCAUGCUACAUGGAGAUCAGAAGACAACCAGCAUUAUUUAGUUUUCUCACCACACCAUGUGGAUCGUGGGACUCAAUUAAGGUUAUCAGGUUUGGCUGAAAGAACGUUUACCCAAUGAGUGAUGUCUCCAGCACCACCUCCUUAUAUUUCAGGACCAUGUGAUUCCCAUCAUGCACCAUGAAAAAAUGCAAGUGUAUCAGUUAGGAGUUGCUUAUGAGGUAAGGCUGCUCUGAGAGAUCCUGGGCUGAGAGCUGAAGCAGCAGGGUUCAUAAAAACCAGAGCCAAUGUGAGUCUGCCAGCUUGGGGCUCGGGAUCCAUCUAAAGACUACAGGGUCAAGAAAAGCCACAGAUAGAGGGAAGAGCCAUAGGACACACUGGGACCACUAAGGAGGAACUGUUUUCUGGCCAUCUUUACUGAUGUCCAGUCAGACAGUCUGUAGGCUACAAAGCUGAUGUGCUUGACCACGGAGUUAGCAUGAGGCCAAUAUCCUUAUUCGUGUCUGUAGAUGUAGCUGGAAAAGGAAUUCCUGCAAGUAGAAUUGCUGGGCCAGGGGACAUAUUCACUUGUUAUUUGCUAGAUAUUAUGAAUUUUCCCUCCAAAGGUGGUUGUACCAAUUCAUAUUCCUGUCAAUUAUGCAUGAAGAUGAAGGUUACCUGAUACAGGCAUUGGCAGAACACAUUAUCUUACUUAAAAAAAAAAAACUUUAAAAUUCAAUUUAUAAAAACAACAUAAUAUAUAAUUGAGAUCUUACUCUGUAUUUCUUUUCAUAAGAUGCAUGUUUAACAUUUGUAAAUGUUAAAUCCAUUUGUAUUUUUGUCUUACUGCAUUAGCAAUUUUCUCUCGUAUUCAUUUAUCAGUCUAUACACGUUUAAUGUGAGUUCACCACACAUCUGGUAACUUUAUCUAAUAUAUGAAAAGGUUACUCUGCA